rnacentral:rRNA from 1 species
CCUACGGGAGGCAGCAGUGGGGAAUAUUGCACAAUGGCGGAGAGGCUGAUGCAGCGAAGCCGCGUGAGUGAAGACGUAUCUACGUAUGUAAAGCUCUAUUAGCAGGGAAGAAAAUGACGGUACCUGAUUAAGAAGCCGCGGAUAACGACGUGACAGCAGCGGUGGUAAUACGGAGGGGGCAGGGGUAAUACGGAUUUACUGGGUGUAAAGGGGGUGUAGACGGGAGCACAAGUCUGGAGUGAAAUGUCGGGGUUUAACCCAGGAACUGCAUUUGAAACUGUGCAUCUAGAGUGGAGGAGAGGUACGUGGAAUUCCUGGUGUAGCGGUGAAAUGCGUAGAUAUUAGGAGGAACACCAGUGGCGAAGGCGGCUUACUGGACUGUAACUGACGUUGAGGCUCGAAAGCGUGGGUAGCAAACAGGAUUAGAUACCCCAGUAGUC